rnacentral:rRNA from 1 species
UCGGACGGUAGCACAGAGAGCUUGCUCUCGGGUGACGAGUGGCGGACGGGUGAGUAAUGUCUGGGGAUCUGCCCGAUAGAGGGGGAUAACCACUGGAAACGGUGGCUAAUACCGCAUAACGUCGCAAGACCAAAGAGGGGGACCUUCGGGCCUCUCACUAUCGGAUGAACCCAGAUGGGAUUAGCUAGUAGGCGGGGUAAUGGCCCACCUAGGCGACGAUCCCUAGCUGGUCUGAGAGGAUGACCAGCCACACUGGAACUGAGACACGGUCCAGACUCCUACGGGAGGCAGCAGUGGGGAAUAUUGCACAAUGGGCGCAAGCCUGAUGCAGCCAUGCCGCGUGUAUGAAGAAGGCCCUCGAUGCGGUUGUAAAGUACUUUCAGCGGGAAGGCGGUGAGGUUAAUAACCUUGCCGAUUGACGUUACCCGCAGAAGAAGCACCGGGUAACUCCGUGCCAGCAGCCGCGGUAAUACGGAGGG